rnacentral:rRNA from 1 species
UGGCGGCGUGCCUAAUACAUGCAAGUCGAACGAGUUCUCGUUGAUGAUCGGUGCUUGCACCGAGAUUCAACAUGGAACGAGUGGCGGACGGGUGAGUAACACGUGGGUAACCUGCCCUUAAGUGGGGGAUAACAUUUGGAAACAGAUGCUAAUACCGCAUAGAUCCAAGAACCGCAUGGUUCUUGGCUGAAAGAUGGCGUAAGCUAUCGCUUUUGGAUGGACCCGCGGCGUAUUAGCUAGUUGGUGAGGUAAUGGCUCACCAAGGCGAUGAUACGUAGCCGAACUGAGAGGUUGAUCGGCCACAUUGGGACUGAGACACGGCCCAAACUCCUACGGGAGGCAGCAGUAGGGAAUCUUCCACAAUGGACGCAAGUCUGAUGGAGCAACGCCGCGUGAGUGAAGAAGGCUUUCGGGUCGUAAAACUCUGUUGUUGGAGAAGAAUGGUCGGCAGAGUAACUGUUGUCGGCGUGACGGUAUCCAACCAGAAAGCCACGGCUAACUACGUGCCAGCAGCCGCGGUAAUACGUAGGUGGCAAGCGUUAUCCGGAUUUAUUGGGCGUAAAGCGAGCGCAGGCGGUUUUUUAAGUCUGAUGUGAAAGCCCUCGGCUUAACCGAGGAAGCGCAUCGGAAACUGGGAAACUUGAGUGCAGAAGAGGACAGUGGAACUCCAUGUGUAGCGGUGAAAUGCGUAGAUAUAUGGAAGAACACCAGUGGCGAAGGCGGCUGUCUGGUCUGUAACUGACGCUGAGGCUCGAAAGCAUGGGUAGCGAACAGGAUUAGAUACCCUGGUAGUCCAUGCCGUAAACGAUGAAUGCUAGGUGUUGGAGGGUUUCCGCCCUUCAGUGCCGCAGCUAACGCAUUAAGCAUUCCGCCUGGGGAGUACGACCGCAAGGUUGAAACUCAAAGGAAUUGACGGGGGCCCGCACAAGCGGUGGAGCAUGUGGUUUAAUUCGAAGCAACGCGAAGAACCUUACCAGGUCUUGACAUCUUUUGAUCACCUGAGAGAUCAGGUUUCCCCUUCGGGGGCAAAAUGACAGGUGGUGCAUGGUUGUCGUCAGCUCGUGUCGUGAGAUGUUGGGUUAAGUCCCGCAACGAGCGCAACCCUUAUGACUAGUUGCCAGCAUUUAGUUGGGCACUCUAGUAAGACUGCCGGUGACAAACCGGAGGAAGGUGGGGAUGACGUCAAAUCAUCAUGCCCCUUAUGACCUGGGCUACACACGUGCUACAAUGGAUGGUACAACGAGUUGCGAGACCGCGAGGUCAAGCUAAUCUCUUAAAGCCAUUCUCAGUUCGGACUGUAGGCUGCAACUCGCCUACACGAAGUCGGAAUCGCUAGUAAUCGCGGAUCAGCACGCCGCGGUGAAUACGUUCCCGGGCCUUGUACACACCGCCCGUCACACCAUGAGAGUUUGUAACACCCGAAGCCGGUGGCGUAACCCUUUUAGGGAGCGAGCCGUCUAAGGUGGGACAAAUGAUUAG